rnacentral:lncRNA from 1 species
GUUCAAGUGACUCUAAGAGUCACUUGAACAGACUGCUAGGGAAGGAAGUCAUCAGGAGGAAAUCUGGACAUAGUUAGGAAAUGUGGAAGCAGUAAGAAGAUGCUGCUGGCGGAGCCUUGUCCUCACAAAGGACUUUGAUCGUCUCCAUAUCAGAAAUGCAGUGUGUGUGUGUGUGUGUGUGUGUUUAUGUAUUUAUCUACAUUCUUAGGUCAAUCGAACUUCAGAUGUGCAGAAAGAGUGCUCCGUUUGGAAGAAGUUCAACCUGACUUCUGAAUUCUGAGAUCACACUGCACAGCGUAAUUGAAACCUGAUUAACAGAAGGAAAACCUGAAUUUUUUGUCCACAUACUUCAACAAAAAGAAAAAGUUGAAACAGAUUGGGUGCAGGCAUGUAUAUUAAAAUCCAAC